rnacentral:rRNA from 1 species
GACGAACGCUGGCGGCGUGCUUAACACAUGCAAGUCGAACGGAAAGGCCCCUUUCUGGGUACUCGAUCGGCAAACGGGUGAGUAAGACGUACGUGAGCUUCCCUUGACUUCGUGAUAGCUUCAGUAAACUGAGUCUGGUACCAGAUAGGAAUCCUUUCUUCAUGCUCGGGGUUGGAUAGCUUCGGCCGGUUUGGAUGGCCUCGCUGGUUAUCAGCUUGUUGGUGGGGUGGUGGGUUACCAAGGCGUUGUCGGGUAGCAGGCCUGAGAGGGUGACCGGCCAACGUGGGACCGAGAUACGGCCCCGGUUCCUAAGGGAGGGAGGUGGGGGGAAUCUUGCCCAAUGGGCGGAAGGCUGGUGCAGAAAGGCCGCGGGCGGGAAGACGGCCUUAGGGUUGUAAACCGCUUUCCGCAGGGGCGAAGCUGGUGGUGACGGUACCUGCAGAAGAAGCACCGGCUAACUACGUG